GACGAACGCUGGCGGCGUGCUUAACACAUGCAAGUCGAACGGAAAGGCCCCUUUGGGGGUACUCGAGUGGCGAACGGGUGAGUAACACGUGAGUAACCUGCCCUUGACUUCGGGAUAACUUCAGGAAACUGGGGCUAAUACCGGAUAGGAAUCCUUGCUGCAUGGUGGGGGUUGGAAAGCUUCGGCGGUUUUGGAUGGACUCGCGGCUUAUCAGCUUGUUGGUGGGGUAGUGGCUUACCAAGGCUUUGACGGGUAGCCGGCCUGAGAGGGCGACCGGCCACAUUGGGACUGAGAUACGGCCCAGACUCCUACGGGAGGCAGCAGUGGGGAAUAUUGCACAAUGGGCGGAAGCCUGAUGCAGCAACGCCGCGUGCGGGACGACGGCCUUCGGGUUGUAAACCGCUUUCAGCAGGGGCGAAGCUUGUGGUGACGGUACCUGCAGAAGAAGCACCGGCUAACUACGUG
rnacentral:rRNA from 1 species